UUAACAUUCAUACAAUAAUAAAGUAAUGCAUAAAGUAAUAAUUGAACAUUACUGAUGAUGUGUGCUGUUAACAAGCAGAAGGGUAAAGAUAAACUAAAACAAAGACGUCAAAGCAACAAGAUGACUUUGUUCAGACAACUCAACCCUUUUAAAAUGUCUUUUAUUUAACAGUGCAUUUUAUCCUUUAUCUUAGACAAAGCAGGCCAUGUUAACUUCAUUUAAUACAUUCUGGAACAAAUCUGGGUCCACUUAUCAUUUCUACUUACAAAUGAACAUUUCUGUUCUGCUCCGUUUACAGUGUUUGGGUGAGAUCUAGACCGAGGACUAAGGCGUAUACUAGGACAGAACUAAGUGUUGUAGCCCACAGGUGAUCCUAAAGCAACAAAGAGGAACCAUGGAGAGGAAGAAGUGGUGUCCAGAUGUUUAAAAGGCGGUGUUCGGGACAGGAAACGAAGGCAACAAAGAGGAACCUCUAAGGUUUAAAGGCACUGCUUGCAGAGACGAGUGCAGAAAAUAAAGACAGAAGACCUGACGAGAAUGUUUUAUGAUUAAAUGUUUUUGUUAUGUACAUGCACAUUAUUAUUUACAAUAUAUUUCUGAGAUACAUAAAUAUGUGACCUUGUAUAUGAAAUCCAGGCUACUGUCUUAACAUCUUAUGACAUCUAAAGUUUGAAUUUACUGAUUUAACAUUGAGUUCAGUCUUUGGCAUGACCUUACUCAGUCAGUAUUGAAGAUGUCAAGAUUAAUUUUUCAGAGAAUGUUUUCUGAAUUGUGUAGGAUGAUUUUAUGUAGAAAACAGUAAGUCACAAAGAAAUACUUUGCUGGGUUUUCACAGGCCGUGUUUUUCCCAUUUGUACAACAUAUGUGAAUUAUCUUGAGACUAAAACUUCUGAAAUCCAAACUGUUAUAUUUUAGCAUUUCAAAUGCAGCCACCCUUUGCCUAGAAUGUGAAAUAUAUACCCUUGGGUUUUUUCAGUAAUUUUUUGAGAUCUCACCCUGAGAUAUUUUUAAAGAAAUUUCCAUGUAUUAUGGGCUUGAAUUACUUGUUUAUUUUAUCAUUUUGUCCAAGUAAUUUGAAAAAGUUUUAAAUUAAAUUUUAGUUCUCAAUUGAAAUAAAUGUAUAUGUUGAGACUAUAUUUUUGUCCACAAACGUAAUUGAAUCAUAUAAGAGUAUAUUAUUUUGAAGGGUAUAAGAAAUAUUUAAGUUAAGUGUAAGUAAAACGUUUACACAGUAGUAUAGCAGUGUAUAAUAGUUACAGAAUAUGUAAUUUAUGUGUGACACAUCUAAAUAUUCUGUUACUGAUUUAUCCAAGUUGUUUAUGUGUUAUAUUUGUCAAAUGAAUAAAUUUGCAACGGUUAUUGACA